UUAACAAGAUCUGUGUGGAGGUAGUGGGUGUGAUCAAGAUCUGAGAAAGUGAAAACUAAAAAAUGAAGUAUUCUUUGCAAGUCCAAAUCUUUUUGGGUGAAACAAGGAGGUGAAAGAAGCUUCAAGACUUGAUCAGGAAAAGGCAAUGGUAGGGUAAACAGGAAAAGUAAAGGGGCCACUGAUGAAUCAAUAUUUUCUCGACUUUACUUAGUUUAUUGAGCUAGGAUUAAUUAGGGAAUUGUGCUUAAUUUUCCGGAGGUCCAAAUGCUACAUUUUAUAUGUCACGGGAAAGAUAAUUGAGUCUACUUUCGAGGAAAAAAAACCUCAUCUCAGUUAGAGCUCUGUAGAAAAAGUUAUGGGUAAAACAUUGAGCAAAGGUC
rnacentral:lncRNA from 1 species